AUCAAAUCGUACCCCAAACCGACACAGGUGGUCAGGUAGAGAAUACCAAGGCGCUUGAGAGAACUCGGGUGAAGGAACUAGGCAAAAUGGUGCCGUAACUUCGGGAGAAGGCACGCUGAUAUGUAGGUGAAGUCCCUCGCGGAUGGAGCUGAAAUCAGUCGAAGAUACCAGCUGGCUGCAACUGUUUAUUAAAAACACAGCACUGUGCAAACACGAAAGUGGACGUAUACGGUGUGACGCCUGCCCGGUGCCGGAAGGUUAAUUGAUGGGGUCAGCGCAAGCGAAGCUCUUGAUCGAAGCCCCGGUAAACGGCGGCCGUAACUAUAACGGUCCUAAGGUAGCGAAAUUCCUUGUCGGGUAAGUUCCGACCUGCACGAAUGGCGUAAUGAUGGCCAGGCUGUCUCCACCCGAGACUCAGUGAAAUUGAACUCGCUGUGAAGAUGCAGUGUACCCGCGGCAAGACGGAAAGACCCCGUGAACCUUUACUAUAGCUUGACACUGAACAUUGAGCCUUGAUGUGUAGGAUAGGUGGGAGGCUUUGAAGUGUGGACGCCAGUCUGCAUGGAGCCGACCUUGAAAUACCACCCUUUAAUGUUUGAUGUUCUAACGUGGACCCGUGAUCCGGGUUGCGGACAGUGUCUGGUGGGUAGUUUGACUGGGGCGGUCUCCUCCUAAAGAGUAACGGAGGAGCACGAAGGUUGGCUAAUCCUGGUCGGACAUCAGGAGGUUAGUGCAAUGGCAUAAGCCAGCUUGACUGCGAGCGUGACGGCGCGAGCAGGUGCGAAAGCAGGUCAUAGUGAUCCGGUGGUUCUGAAUGGAAGGGCCAUCGCUCAACGGAUAAAAGGUACUCCGGGGAUAACAGGCUGAUACCGCCCAAGAGUUCAUAUCGACGGCGGUGUUUGGCACCUCGAUGUCGGCUCAUCACAUCCUGGGGCUGAAGUAGGUCCCAAGGGUAUGGCUGUUCGCCAUUUAAAGUGGUACGCGAGCUGGGUUUAGAACGUCGUGAGACAGUUCGGUCCCUAUCUGCCGUGGGCGCUGGAGAACUGAGGGGGGCUGCUCCUAGUACGAGAGGACCGGAGUGGACGCAUCACUGGUGUUCGGGUUGUCAUGCCAAUGGCACUGCCCGGUAGCUAAAUGCGGAAGAGAUAAGUGCUGAAAGCAUCUAAGCACGAAACUUGCCCCGAGAUGAGUUCUCCCUGACCCUUUAAGGGUCCUGAAGGAACGUUGAAGACGACGACGUUGAUAGGCCGGGUGUGUAAGCGCAGCGAUGCGUUGAGCUAACCGGUACUAAUGAACCGUGAGGCUUAACCUU
rnacentral:rRNA from 1 species